rnacentral:rRNA from 1 species
GACGAACCGAGCGAACGUUGUUCGGAAUCACUGGGCUUAAAGGGCGCGUAGGCGGGUGCUCAAGUCCGUGGUGAAAUCCUCCGGCUCAACCGGAGAACUACCUCGGAUACUGGGCGUCUCGAGUGUGGUAGGGGUAUGCGGAACUAUCGGUGGAGCGGUGAAAUGCGUUGAUAUCGAUAGGAACUCCGGUGGCGAAGGCGGCAUACUGGACCACCACUGACGCUGAUGCGCGAAAGCCAGGGGAGCAAACGGG